rnacentral:rRNA from 1 species
GACGUAGGAGGCGAGCGUUAUCCGGAUUCAUUGGGCGUAAAGCGCUUUAAGGCGGUUCGCUAAGUCGCGUGUGAAACCUCCAGGCUCAACCUGGAGACGCCACGCGAUACUGGCGUGACUAGAGUUCGGUAGGGGAUCACGGAAUUCCUGGUGUAGCGGUGAAAUGCGCAGAUAUCAGGAGGAACACCGGUGGCGAAGGCGGUGAUCUGGGCCGACACUGACGCUGGUAGAGCGAAAGCGUGGGGAGCGAACAGG